rnacentral:rRNA from 1 species
UACGUAGGGUGCGAGCGUUAAUCGGAAUUACUGGGCGUAAAGCGUGUGCAGGCGGUUUUGUAAGCCGGAUGUGAAAUCCCCGGGCUCAACCUGGGAAUGGCAUUCGGGACUGCAAGGCUGGAGUGCGGCAGAGGAGACUGGAAUUCCUGGUGUAGCAGUGAAAUGCGUAGAUAUCAGGAGGAAUACCGAUGGCGAAGGCAGGUCUCUGGGCUGACACUGACGCUCAUGCACGAAAGCGUGGGGAGCAAACAGG